rnacentral:lncRNA from 1 species
UAUUGAUUUACUCAUAGACCUCCAAAUUUUGAGUUACAAUACAUGAAAGCAUGGAUAAAGAAUAGAACAAAGAAAAACAACCACAGAUUCAUUCAUUCAUCACCAUCUCCUCAUACUAUUUUUUUUUUUCUUCUCAACACAAAUUGAUGAGAUUAAAAACAAUAAAAAUUGUAAAUCUGAAGGUUUUUUACAUUAAACAA